UACGUAGGGCGCAAGCGUUAUCCGGAAUUAUUGGGCGUAAAGGGCGCGUAGGCGGAUAUUUAAGUCGGGGGUGAAAGCCCAGGGCUCAACCCUGGAACAGCCUUCGAUACUGGAUAUCUUGAGUACGGGAGAGGUGUGUGGAACUCCGAGUGUAGAGGUGAAAUUCGUAGAUAUUCGGAAGAACACCAGUGGCGAAGGCGACACACUGGCCCGUUACUGACGCUGAGGCGCGAAAGCGUGGGGAGCAAACAGG
rnacentral:rRNA from 1 species